AGGGAAUUUUCGGCAAUGGGGGGAACCCUGACCGAGCAAUGCCGCGUGAAUGAAGAAGGUCUUCGGAUUGUAAAGUUCUGUUAAUCGGGAAGAACGGUCUUAUCAGGAAAUGGAUAGGGCGUGACGGUACCGGUUGAGAAAGCCCCGGCCAACUAUGUGCCAGCAGCCGCGGUAAUACAUAGGGGCAAGCGUUAUCCGGAUUUAUGGGCGUAAAGCGUGUGUAGGUGGUUUACUAAGUCGAUUGUAAAAGAUCACAGCUUAACUGUGUAGGGCAUUCGAAACUGAUAGACUUGAAUACGGUAGAGGCAAGUGGAAUUCCAUGUGUAGCGGUGGAAUGCGUAGAUAUAUGGAGGAACACAAGGGCGAAGGCAGCUUGGCUGGGGCCGAAUUGAC
rnacentral:rRNA from 1 species